UACGGAGGGGGCUAGCGUUGUUCGGAAUUACUGGGCGUAAAGCGCGCGUAGGCGGACCUGCAAGUCGGGGGUGAAAUCCUGGAGCUCAACUCCAGAACUGCCUUCGAUACUGGGAAACUUGAGUUCGGGAGAGGUGAGUGGAACUGCGAGUGUAGAGGUGAAAUUCGUAGAUAUUCGCAAGAACACCAGUGGCGAAGGCAGCUCACUGGCCCGAUACUGACGCUGAGGUGCGAAAGCGUGGGGAGCAAACAGG
rnacentral:rRNA from 1 species